UUGUAUUUAUUAGUUUAACUAAGCUUUAUAUCAAAUAGAGAUUACUAAGAAUUAUUAUUUUAAAUACAAUUAUGAUGAUGUGGAUUUUUUUAUCAAAUUGGGAUAUUUAGUGAAUGAUUUUAAGCAUAAAAAAAAAAGAAAAAAAAAGAAAAAGAAAAAGAAAAAGAAGACCCAUUUCAUUGUUGUAUUUCGUGGCUUAAGGAGGACUAGACACAAAAGUGUUUACAUGUCAAUUUAUUAUAACCUCUUUGACAGAUUGAAACCCCAACUCCCUUCUUCCUUUAAGACCCAUUUCACCAUUCCUCUGUGUCUCUCAAGCUCACAUCUCCUCGUCGGCACCUCUGUUUUUUUUUCUCUUCGAAUUCCAUCCAUUUGCGAUCCAUCAAAGCUGUUGUGGGUUGUUCUUAAUUUCGUUUUCUCUCUCCACUAAUUUUCUUGGUGCUAAAGUUGCUGCCGAAUUAUUUGCUCAAAAUCGACAGCAUGCAGUUGGUUUUUGGAAAUAUAUGUUACAUGAAAGUUGUAGAUCUCUUCGAGAUAUUGAAUUUAGGCUCAAAAAUUUCUUAAAUCGGAGUUUGGAGCUAAGAGUUAUGCUCUCUGGAAGUUGUAGUUUUUGUUGCCACUGCUGCAACGUUCUUCCUUCUCCUCUUCUUCGCGGUGCUGCUGCCACUGUCGUGCUGCCGCCGCUAUUGGUGGUUGUUGUUGCUGCUGCUUUGUGUUGGUGUUAAUGACUUGAUUCCUUACUCCAUUUACUGCACUCUUGGCUAAAGGAAACCCCAAAUCAGUUUUUUUGCCACUCUUAUCAAGGGUAAUCUAUGUAAGCUAUGUAUUCUCUCUCUUUUAAUUUCAAAAUUAGUAUCAGUACACUUGUGUGAAUCUUCAAAUCAAAUUUUGCAUCUUGGGCAUAAUAUCAUAAUAGGACUUAAAUAGUUGUUUUAAUAUUGGAAGUAAAGAUUGAAACUUUCUUUGGUUAAAGUGAUUGGAAAUGGUUUUGGAGCUUAAAAUCUUUAGUAAGCUUGACGAAUUAAAUUUUACAAGUUCUGUUUCGUAUUUUGCAAAUCCAAAUCAUAAUUUCAUGUCUACAAAUCAGUGUAAUAAUUUCCAAAAUAAGGUUAAUUAGAGUUAGUAUGUGAGUUGGUUGGAGGAAUAGUUUGCAUAUAAGAUGUUGUGUUUAGUUCAUGGAAAAGUUAAUGAAUAUAGGAAAGUCAAUUUAUUUUUCUAAAUUGUAGUAAGAUUGGUGAUUAAUUAUCGGUAUUGCUUCUGAGGCAUCUUAUGUAUACAAUUUGUGGAGCUUGGAGAAUUAAAGGAGCUUAAGGGGGCUGAGUUAUUGGAUUGCAUUUUAAGAAAUUGGUUUGCAAUUGAGGUUUGUGUUGGGAGCUCAUAGUGGAUCGAAAGUAAAGAGUCGAUUAUUGAAUUGUAGAUAUCCUAGUGAUUCAAAGGUUGUAUUUGGAAGUAUUCAAGCUCUUAGUGAAGAAUUUAAUAUUCUAUUGUUUUGGGAAUAAAGUAAAUUGUAAUCUGUUAUUGGUUGUGAAGAUUAUUAUGUUGUGGGCCCAUAACCCACAGGUCCCAGGAUCGUGUUGAGGUUUAUAUUUCCGCUGCAAGUAAUUAUUAAUUCGAGGUUAUUAAGUAUUAA